rnacentral:lncRNA from 1 species
UGACCGCAUUUUUACAUUUAAUAUUUUUUGUAUUAUUUAUGUAAAGAAUCCUACAAUAUAAGAACUAUUUAUUAUUUUUCGUUUACUUAAAAAAUUAGACGUAUUUGUGAAAUAAACAUUGAAACUUAAUCAAAUAAUUUCUCAAAACGAUCAAAAUAAAGUCAUUUUGUCGAAUUAAAGUUCAAAAACCCAAAACCCAAAAAUAAUAUAAAAAAAUAAAGAAGCAAAUCAAAUAAUCACGAAUAAUUCAAAAAAAUUAAAAAAUAAAAAACUACACCCAACCAAAGUAAACCCCAAUGAAUUCUACAAUGCCACUUUCUAACAAGUUUAAUUAAGUUAAUAUUAUCCAUAUAUAGAUUUAUAAAAUACAAUUCACCAAC